GGUUAAGCGACUAAGCGUACACGGUGGAUGCCCUGGCAGUCAGAGGCGAUGAAGGACGUGCUAAUCUGCGAUAAGCGUCGGUAAGGUGAUAUGAACCGUUAUAACCGGCGAUUUCCGAAUGGGGAAACCCAGUGUGAUUCGUCACACUAUCAUUAACUGAAUCCAUAGGUUAAUGAGGCGAACCGGGGGAACUGAAACAUCUAAGUACCCCGAGGAAAAGAAAUCAACCGAGAUUCCCCCAGUAGCGGCGAGCGAACGGGGAGCAGCCCAGAGCCUGAAUCAGUGUGUGUGUUAGUGGAAGCGUCUGGAAAGGCGUGCGAUACAGGGUGACAGCCCCGUACACAAAAAUGCACAUGCUGUGAGCUCGAUGAGUAGGGCGGGACACGUGGUAUCCUGUCUGAAUAUGGGGGGACCAUCCUCCAAGGCUAAAUACUCCUGACUGACCGAUAGUGAACCAGUACCGUGAGGGAAAGGCGAAAAGAACCCCGGCGAGGGGAGUGAAAAAGAACCUGAAACCGUGUACGUACAAGCAGUGGGAGCACAGAGCAAUCUGUGUGACUGCGUACCUUUUGUAUAAUGGGUCAGCGACUUAUAUUCUGUAGCAAGGUUAACCGAAUAGGGGAGCCGAAGGGAAACCGAGUCUUAACUGGGCGUUAAGUUGCAGGGUAUAGACCCGAAACCCGGUGAUCUAGCCAUGGGCAGGUUGAAGGUUGGGUAACACUAACUGGAGGACCGAACCGACUAAUGUUGAAAAAUUAGCGGAUGACUUGUGGCUGGGGGUGAAAGGCCAAUCAAACCGGGAGAUAGCUGGUUCUCCCCGAAAGCUAUUUAGGUAGCGCCUCGUGAAUUCAUCUCCGGGGGUAGAGCACUGUUUCGGCAAGGGGGUCAUCCCGACUUACCAACCCGAUGCAAACUGCGAAUACCGGAGAAUGUUAUCACGGGAGACACACGGCGGGUGCUAACGUCCGUCGUGAAGAGGGAAACAACCCAGACCGCCAGCUAAGGUCCCAAAGUCAUGGUUAAGUGGGAAACGAUGUGGGAAGGCCCAGACAGCCAGGAUGUUGGCUUAGAAGCAGCCAUCAUUUAAAGAAAGCGUAAUAGCUCACUGGUCGAGUCGGCCUGCGCGGAAGAUGUAACGGGGCUAAACCAUGCACCGAAGCUGCGGCAGCGACGCUUAUGCGUUGUUGGGUAGGGGAGCGUUCUGUAAGCCUGCGAAGGUGUGCUGUGAGGCAUGCUGGAGGUAUCAGAAGUGCGAAUGCUGACAUAAGUAACGAUAAAGCGGGUGAAAAGCCCGCUCGCCGGAAGACCAAGGGUUCCUGUCCAACGUUAAUCGGGGCAGGGUGAGUCGACCCCUAAGGCGAGGCCGAAAGGCGUAGUCGAUGGGAAACAGGUUAAUAUUCCUGUACUUGGUGUUACUGCGAAGGGGGGACGGAGAAGGCUAUGUUGGCCGGGCGACGGUUGUCCCGGUUUAAGCGUGUAGGCUGGUUUUCCAGGCAAAUCCGGAAAAUCAAGGCUGAGGCGUGAUGACGAGGCACUACGGUGCUGAAGCAACAAAUGCCCUGCUUCCAGGAAAAGCCUCUAAGCAUCAGGUAACAUCAAAUCGUACCCCAAACCGACACAGGUGGUCAGGUAGAGAAUACCAAGGCGCUUGAGAGAACUCGGGUGAAGGAACUAGGCAAAAUGGUGCCGUAACUUCGGGAGAAGGCACGCUGAUAUGUAGGUGAAGUCCCUCGCGGAUGGAGCUGAAAUCAGUCGAAGAUACCAGCUGGCUGCAACUGUUUAUUAAAAACACAGCACUGUGCAAACACGAAAGUGGACGUAUACGGUGUGACGCCUGCCCGGUGCCGGAAGGUUAAUUGAUGGGGUUAGCGCAAGCGAAGCUCUUGAUCGAAGCCCCGGUAAACGGCGGCCGUAACUAUAACGGUCCUAAGGUAGCGAAAUUCCUUGUCGGGUAAGUUCCGACCUGCACGAAUGGCGUAAUGAUGGCCAGGCUGUCUCCACCCGAGACUCAGUGAAAUUGAACUCGCUGUGAAGAUGCAGUGUACCCGCGGCAAGACGGAAAGACCCCGUGAACCUUUACUAUAGCUUGACACUGAACAUUGAGCCUUGAUGUGUAGGAUAGGUGGGAGGCUUGGAAGUGUGGACGCCAGUCUGCAUGGAGCCGACCUUGAAAUACCACCCUUUAAUGUUUGAUGUUCUAACGUUGACCCGUAAUCCGGGUUGCGGACAGUGUCUGGUGGGUAGUUUGACUGGGGCGGUCUCCUCCUAAAGAGUAACGGAGGAGCACGAAGGUUGGCUAAUCCUGGUCGGACAUCAGGAGGUUAGUGCAAUGGCAUAAGCCAGCUUGACUGCGAGCGUGACGGCGCGAGCAGGUGCGAAAGCAGGUCAUAGUGAUCCGGUGGUUCUGAAUGGAAGGGCCAUCGCUCAACGGAUAAAAGGUACUCCGGGGAUAACAGGCUGAUACCGCCCAAGAGUUCAUAUCGACGGCGGUGUUUGGCACCUCGAUGUCGGCUCAUCACAUCCUGGGGCUGAAGUAGGUCCCAAGGGUAUGGCUGUUCGCCAUUUAAAGUGGUACGCGAGCUGGGUUUAGAACGUCGUGAGACAGUUCGGUCCCUAUCUGCCGUGGGCGCUGGAGAACUGAGGGGGGCUGCUCCUAGUACGAGAGGACCGGAGUGGACGCAUCACUGGUGUUCGGGUUGUCAUGCCAAUGGCACUGCCCGGUAGCUAAAUGCGGAAGAGAUAAGUGCUGAAAGCAUCUAAGCACGAAACUUGCCCCGAGAUGAGUUCUCCCUGACUCCUUGAGAGUCCUGAAGGAACGUUGAAGACGACGACGUUGAUAGGCCGGGUGUGUAAGCGCAGCGAUGCGUUGAGCUAACCGGUACUAAUGAACCGUGAGGCUUAACCUU
rnacentral:rRNA from 1 species